GAUAAACGCUGGCGGCGUGCAUGAGACAUGCAAGUCGAACGGACGAGCUUGCUCGUUAGUGGCGAACGGCUGAGUAACGCGUAGGUGACCUGCCCUGAAGUGGGGGAUAACGGCCCGAAAGGGUUGCUAAUACCGCAUGUGGCGACGUGUUCAUUCACGUCAUCAAAGCCGCGAGGCGCUUCAGGAGGGGCCUGCGUCCGAUUAGCUCGUUGGUGGGGUAACGGCUCACCAAGGCGACGAUCGGUAGGUGGUCUGAGAGGACGAUCACCCAGACUGGGACUGAGACACGGCCCAGACUCCUACGGGAGGCAGCAGUCGGGAAUUUUGCUCAAUGGGGGAAACCCUGAAGCAGCAACGCCGCGUGAGGGAUGAAGGCCUUCGGGUUGUAAACCUCUUUUGUCAGGGACGAUGAUGACGGUACCUGACGAAUAAGUCACGGCUAACUACGUGCCAGCCGCCGCGGUAAUAC
rnacentral:rRNA from 1 species